UGUUCCAAUUCCUUUGAUGCCGUAAGGCGUUGAGCAC
rfam:Gloeomargarita lithophora Alchichica-D10 chromosome.